AUGUUUGGUACACAGAUCCACUCCAUUUGUAAUGAUGAGACGGAGAUUGAACGUCUUAAAAAUGAGAAGCCCACCUGGGAGCGGCGGGUAAGGUGGGAUGGCAUGAAGGCAGUCUUUGGGGGUCCCCCAUCUCUUCUGUGGUGUAAUCCUUUCACAGGGUUACGUUUACGACGUUUGAUACUUCUGACCUAUAGUCGCCGCAGUGGAUCAGAAUUCUCUGUCUGAGAAAUAAAACAUGAACACUUGGUCAUCCUUCUCUUGAGACCAGUGGUGUCCUAUAGAGAUCCUGAGACCUGUGCUCUUAAAUGUUCGAAAACUGGAUUCUUGUGCCAGAAGGUGUGCUACUGCAGGGGUUUGUACAGCCCCAACAAACCUCGUCAUGGUCAUACGAAUCCAAGAUCCCAAACAAAAGGUUGAAUUUAUUGAUCAUCGGAGCUUCUUCAUUUGUGUUUUCUAAGCAUGCAGUGCAUUCUCAAGUGCAUCUUAAUUUAUCUAUUGCCGUCCAAGGUCUUUAGUUCACAAAUACAUCCAUCUUUUUUUACCAAGGGACCAGCAGUAUAUUGUUUCAUCUAUGGAUAAAAAGCUAAUAUAAAGCUCACAAUCACAUAUCUACUGGACUGUGAUGAGCAGUUUUAGUUUGUGUGUGUGCUGUGAACAGAGAAGAGAAGAGAGGCUCCAAAAUGCAUGUUGCCCUUCUUGGUCUCAAAUGGACAGUAAUACUGAGAUUUAGCAGAUUUAAGGCAAUUUGCCUGUUUUUCUGUAUUUGGACAUCUAAUAUAUGUGUUAUUUGACAAAAUAAUGUGCCAGUCAAAAAUAUAUUUUUAUCAGCUCUUCA